ensembl:lncRNA
CUUACAAUCCGGGAUUUCAGGGCCCACACUGAUGGGUUGGGUCCCUAAACGGGGGUUUGGAGCCUGAAAAUCGGGCAUUUGAGACCCAAAAUUGGGGGUUUGGGGGCAAAAAUGGGGAUUCGGGCCCCAAAAUUGGGGGUUUGUGUGCAAAAAUGGGGAUUUGGAACCUAAAAAUUGGGAUUUGAGCCCCAAAAUGGGGGGUUUGGGCCCAAAAUUGGAGCAUUUGAGCCCCAAAAUUGGGGAUUUGGGUGCAAAAAUGGGGAUUUGAGCAACAAAAAUUGGGGGUUUGGGCCCCAAAAAUGGUCAUUUGAGCUCUUAAAAUUGGGGGUUUGGAUCCAAAAAUGGGGAUUUAAGCUCUUAAAAUUGGGGGUUUGUGUGCAAAAAUGGGGAUUUGAGUCCCAAAAUUGGGGGUUUGUGUGCAAAAUUGGGAUUUGAGCCCUAAAAUUGGGGUUUUGGGGGCAAAAAUGGGGAUUUGAGCUCUUAAAAUUGGGGGUUUGUGUGCAAAAAUGGGGAUUUGAGCUCUUAAAAUUGGGGGUUUAUGUGCAAAAAUGGGGAUUUGAGCCCCAAAAUUGGGGGUUUGGGUGCAAAAAUGGGGAUUUGAGCCCCAAAAUUGGGGGUUUGGGGGCAAAAAUGGGGAUUUGAGCCCCAAAAUUGGGGGUUUGGGGGCAAAAAUGGGGAUUUGAGCCCCAAAAUUGGGGUUUUGGGUGCAAAAAUGGGGAUUUGAGCUCUUAAAAUUGGGGUUUUGUGUGCAAAAAUGGGGAUUUGAGCCCCAAAAUUGGGGGUUUGGGGGCAAAAAUGGUAAUUUGAGCUGUUAAAAUUGGGGAUUUGGGUGCAAAAAUGGGGAUUUGAGCCCUAAAAUUGGAAUUUUGGUUGCAAACAUGGGGAUUUGAGCCCCAAAAUUGGGGGUUUGGGUGCAAAAAUGGGGAUUUGAGCUCUUAAAAUUGGGGGUUUGGGUGCAAAAAUGGGGAUUUGAGCCCCAAAAUUGGGGGUUUGUGUGCAAAAAUGGGGAUUUGAGCUCUUAAAAUUGGGGGUUUGUCUGCAAAAAUGGUCAUUUGAGCUCUUAAAAUUGGGGAUUUGGGUGCAAAAAUGGGGAUUUGAGCUUUUAAAAUUGGGGGUUUGGGCCCCCAAAAUGGGGAUUUGAGCCCCAAAAUUGGGGGUUUGGGCGCAAAAAUGGGGAUUUGAGCCCCAAAAUUGGGGGUUUGGGGGCAAAAAUGGGGAUUUGAGCCCCAAAAUUGGGGGUUUGGGCGCAAAAAUGGGGAUUUGAGCCCCAAAAUUGGGGGUUUGGGGGCAAAAAUGGGGAUUUGAGCCCCAAAAUUGGGGGUUUGGGCCCAAAAUGUGGAUUUGAGCCCCAAAAUUGGGGAUUUGGGUGCAAAAAUGGGGUUUUGAGCAACAAAAAUUGGGGGUUUGGGCCCCAAAAAUGAGGAUUUGAGCCCCCAAAAUGGGGGUUCUGGGCCCAAAAUUGGGAUUCGGGCCCUAAAGUUGGUGGUUUGGGCCCCAAAAAGGGCUGUUUGGACCCCAAAAUGGGGCUCCGGGUCCCAGAUGUGCACAGCCCCGACCCCGGGGAGCAUUGAGGCAAUGAAACACACGGCCGUAACGAAUGGUUAAUAAACUUUAUUUGCAUUUUACACGAUUAUUUCUUACAUUCUCCGUUAAUUUCCCAGUAAAGUGCUGAAAGGGCGUUGGGGUUUUUGUCUUUUUUAAUCUCUAUAUAAAAUAUAUAUUUGAUCUUUUUCUUUUAUUUUCAUCUCUUUUGUAACUCAUCCUCCGCUUUGUCCAACAGAAAUCCAACACAAAAGGCACCGAACGAAGGGGGGAAAAAAGGGGGAAUUCCACAAAAAUCCCAAAUUUGAAGGAAACGGCCCCAAAGCGCACUGUGCUCCCAAUCCCACCGCCACCCCCCAAUGGGGCUCUUUGCUUUUGGGGCUUAUGGGGGGGGGGGGUUAUUCUUUUUUUUUUCGUCAGGUUUUUCUUUAAUCGCUGCCAGCAAGCCUGAAAAGAGGCGAAAAAUGAGAAACCCGCCCCAAAAUAAGAAUGGGAAUGAGGAAAAAAAGCGGCCGGAAGGGAUCGUUUGGAAGCGAAACGCUCAGGAAAAUGAUGGGGGGAUGAAUGGGGGGGAGAUGGCGGAGUACGGGGAGGGAGAAAAGAGGGGGAUACGGACCAAAAUGGGGGGAAAUGGGGAAAUAGGAGCUGAAAUUUGGGGGAAAUGGGGGAAUAUGGGCUGAAAUUUGGGGGAAAUGGGGGAAUAUGGGCUGAAAUUUGGGGGAAAUGGGGGAAUAUGGGCUGAAAUUUGAGGGAAAUGGGGGAAUAUGGACCAAAAUGGUGGGGAAAUGGGGAAGUAGGAGCUGAAAUUUGGGGGAAAUGGGGAAAUAUGGACCAAAAUGGUGGGGAAAUUGGGAAAUAUGAGCUGACAUAUGGGGGAAAUGGGGGAAUAUGGGCUGAAAUUUGGGGGAAAUGGGGGAAUAUGGGCUGAAAUUUGGGGGAAAUGGGGGAAUAUGGACCGAAAUGGUGGGGAAAUGGGGAAAUAUGAACCGAAAUUUGGGGGAAAUGGGGGAAUAUGGACCAAAAUGGUGGGGAAAUGGGGGAAUAUGAGCUGAAAUUUGGGGGAAAUGGGGAAUAUGGACGAAAAUAUGGGGGAAAUGGGGAAAUAGGAGCUGAAAUUUGGGGGAAGUGGGGGAAUAUGGACCAAAAUGGUGGGGAAAUGGGGAAAUAUGAGCUGAAAUUUGGGGGAAAUGGGGGAAUAUGAGCUGAAAUUUGGGGAAAAUGGGGGAAUAUGGGCUGAAAUUUGGGGGAAAUGGGGGAAUAUGGACGAAAAUAUGGGGGAAAUGGGGAAGUAGGAGCUGAAAUUUGGGGGAAAUGGGGAAAUAUGGACCAAAAUGGUGGGGAAAUGGGGAAAUAUGAGCUGAAAUUUGGGGGAAAUGGGGGAAUAUGGGCUGAAAUUUGGGGGAAAUGGACGAAUAUGGGCUGAAAUUUGGGGGAAAUGGGGGAAUAUGGGCUGAAAUUUGGGGGAAAUGGGGGAAUAUGGACCAAAAUGGUGGGGAAAUGGGAGAAUAUGAGCUGAAAUUUGGGGGAAAUGGGGAAUAUGAGCUGAAAUUUGGGGGAAAUGGGGGAAUAUGAGCUGAAAUUUGGGGGAAAUGGGGGAAUAUGGACGAAAAUAUGGGGGAAAUGGGGAAAUAGGAGCUGAAAUUUGGGGGAAAUGGGGGAAUAUGGACCAAAAUGGUGGGGAAAUGGGGAAAUAUGAGCUGAAAUUUGGGGGAAAUGGGGGAAUAUGGACCAAAAUUUGGGGAAAAUGGGGGAAUAUGAGCUGAAAUUUGGGGGAAAUGGGGGAAUAUGAGCUGAAAUUUGGGGGAAAUGGGGAAAUAUGAGCUGAAAUUUGGGGGAAAUGGGGGAAUAUGGACCAAAAUUUGGGGGAAAUGGGGGAAUAUGAGCUGAAAUUUGGGGGAAAUGGGGGAAUAUGGGCUGGAAUUUGGGGGAAAUGGAGGAAUAUGGGCUGAAAUUUGAGGGAAAUGGGGGAAUAUGGACCAAAAUGGUGGGGAAAUGGGGAAGUAGGAGCUGAAAUUUGGGGGAAAUGGGGAAAUAUGGACCAAAAUGGUGGGGAAAUGGGGAAAUAUGAGCUGAAAUUUGGGGGAAAUGGGGGAAAAUACGGACCAAAAUGGUGGGGAAAUUGGGGGAAUAUGAGCUGAAAUUUGGGGAAAAUGGGUGGAUAUGGCCCGAAAUUUGGGGAAAAUGCAUGAAAUUUGGGGAAAAAACGGGUUUAUGAACCGAAAUUUGGGGAAAAUGGGUGGAUAUGGCCCGAAAUUUGGGGAAAAUGGGUGAAAUUUGGGGAAAAACGGGAGUUAUUAACCAAAACUUGGGGAAAAUGGGUGGAUACGGCCUGAAAUUUGGGGGAAGUGGGUGGAUUCGGCCCGAAAUUUGGGGGAAAUGUGUGAAUGUGGACCGAAAUUUGGGGAAAAGUGGGCGAUAUGAGCCGAAAUUGGGUAAAUGUGAGCCGAAGGAGCUGUGGGUGUUGGGGCGCUGAGGACGGGCGGCGGGUGGGACGGGAGGGGACGGGAUAGGAGGGGAGGGGAGGGGAGGGGACAAAACCCACCCGAAACGGGGAAAAGAACCCAAAGCCACCCAAAAAACAGAAGAAGAAGAGAAAGGAGAAGAAGAAAAUGGGUGAAAUACGGGGAAAAAGGAGAAUUAGGAAUCAAAAUUUGGGGGAAAUGGGUGGAUAUGGCCCGAAAUUUGGGGGAAAUGGGUGGAUAUAGACCAAAAUUUGGGGGAAAUGGGUGGAUAUGGCCCAAACUUUGGGGAAAAUGGAUGAAAUUUGGGGAAAAACGGGAGUUAUGAACCUAAAUUUGGGGAAAAUGGGUGGAUAUGGCCCAAAAUUUGGGGAAAAUGGGUGAAAUUUGGGGAAAAACGGGAGUUAUGAACCGAAACUUGGGUAAAAUGGGUGGAUACGGCCUGAAAUUUGGGGGAAAUGGGUGGAUUCGGCCCAAAAUUUGGGGGAAAUGGGUGAAUGUGGACCGAAAUUUGGGGAAAAUGGGUGGAUAUUGCCCAAAAUUUGGGGAAAAUGGGUGAAUGUGGGCCGAAAUUUGGGGGAAAGUGGGCGAUAUGAGCCGAAAUUGGGUAAACGUGAGCCGAAGGAGCUGCGGGUGUUGGGGCGCUGAGGACGGGCGGUGG